GUUAGCGGCGGACGGGUGAGUAACACGUGGGUAACCUGCCUGUAAGACUGGGAUAACUCCGGGAAACCGGAGCUAAUACCGGAUAGUUCCUUGAACCGCAUGGUUCAAGGAUGAAAGACGGUUUCGGCUGUCACUUACAGAUGGACCCGCGGCGCAUUAGCUAGUUGGUGGGGUAAUGGCUCACCAAGGCGACGAUGCGUAGCCGACCUGAGAGGGUGAUCGGCCACACUGGGACUGAGACACGGCCCAGACUCCUACGGGAGGCAGCAGUAGGGAAUCUUCCGCAAUGGACGAAAGUCUGACGGAGCAACGCCGCGUGAGUGAUGAAGGUUUUCGGAUCGUAAAGCUCUGUUGUUAGGGAAGAACAAGUGCGAGAGUAACUGCUCGCACCUUGACGGUACCUAACCAGAAAGCCACGGCUAACUACGUGCCAGCAGCCGCGGUAAUACGUAGGUGGCAAGCGUUGUCCGGAAUUAUUGGGCGUAAAGGGCUCGCAGGCGGUUUCUUAAGUCUGAUGUGAAAGCCCCCGGCUCAACCGGGGAGGGUCAUUGGAAACUGGGAAACUUGAGUGCAGAAGAGGAGAGUGGAAUUCCACGUGUAGCGGUGAAAUGCGUAGAGAUGUGGAGGAACACCAGUGGCGAAGGCGACUCUCUGGUCUGUAACUGACGCUGAGGAGCGAAAGCGUGGGGAGCGAACAGGAUUAGAUACCCUGGUAGUCCACGCCGUAAACGAUGAGUGCUAAGUGUUAGGGGGUUUCCGCCCCUUAGUGCUGCAGCUAACGCAUUAAGCACUCCGCCUGGGGAGUACGGUCGCAAGACUGAAACUCAAAGGAAUUGACGGGGGCCCGCACAAGCGGUGGAGCAUGUGGUUUAUUCGAAGCAACGCGAAGACCCUUACCAGGUCUUGACAUCCUCUGACACCCUAGAGAUAGGGCUUCCCUUCGGGACAGAGUGACAGGUGGUGCAUGGAUGUCGUCAGCUCGUGUCGUGAGAUGUUGGGUCAGUCCCGCAACGAGCGCAACCCUUGAUCUUAGUUGCCAGCAUUUAGUUGGGCACUCUAAGGUGACUGCCGGUGACAAACCGGAGGAAGGUGGGGAUGACGUCAAAUCAUCAUGCCCCUUAUGACCUGGGCUACACACGUGCUACAAUGGACAGAACAAAGGGCUGCGAGACCGCAAGGUUUAGCCAAUCCCAUAAAUCUGUUCUCAGUUCGGAUCGCAGUCUGCAACUCGACUGCGUGAAGCUGGAAUCGCUAGUAAUCGCGGAUCAGCAUGC
rnacentral:rRNA from 2 species